rnacentral:lncRNA from 1 species
GGAGAGGGGACGGCAUCAGGUAGUUCAAACUUUGAACCGUCGAGAAGCAUCCAACACCACCAGCCACUUCCAAACACAAAGUCUUCUGGGAUAAAGCCAGGCAAUGGUUUUAUUAGACUUGCACUGAAUUUGGCUUCUAGCCGAGCAUGAGUUUGAAGAACCAGCCCUUCUCUGGAUUCCCUGUGAGGUGAAGCUUACUGUGCAAAUUUGUAUCCAGCCCAAACUACCGAUUCAGCUGAACUAACUUGUGACGAGAAAAAAUCUUUUGAGUUUCUGCAAAAGUGGCUAACUAACCCAAGUGAUCGACGAGAAAGGAAAGCUCAAUGGAAUGCAAAGUCUGCCCUCCAUUUUCUCACCAAAACACAAAACCUCGGCAAGGAUGAAGUUAAAGGAGAUGGAAGGACAGUACUUUUAGAUUUAAAUGGUGUGUGUGUGUUUUAUAUUUUAAAUAGUUUUUUAAAUCAAGUUCUUCCUUUGUGAUGUUUAGAAGCAUCAAACCAUUCCAACACUUAGAAAUUAAUUGUACUAGAGGAUCAUGUGCAUGCUAAUUAUUGGUUGCUACAGAAACAGACUG